CGUACACUCCUGCGGGAGGCAGCAGUGGGGAAUAUUGCACAAUGGGCGCAAGCCUGAUGCAGCCAUGCCGCGUGUAUGAAGAAGGCCUUCGGGUUGUAAAGUACUUUCAGCGGGGAGGAAGACGAUAAGGUUAAUAACCUUGUCGAUUGACGUUACCCGCAGAAGAAGCACCGGCUAACUCCGUGCCAGCAGCCGCGGUAAUACGGAGGGUGCAAGCGUUAAUCGGAAUUACUGGGCGUAAAGCGCACGCAGGCGGUCUGUCAAGUCGGAUGUGAAAUCCCCGGGCUCAACCUGGGAACUGCAUUCGAAACUGGCAGGCUAGAGUCUUGUAGAGGGGGGUAGAAUUCCAGGUGUAGCGGUGAAAUGCGUAGAGAUCUGGAGGAAUACCGGUGGCGAAGGCGGCCCCCUGGACAAAGACUGACGCUCAGGUGCGAAAGCGUGGGGAGCAAACAGGAUUAGAAACCCGAGUAGUCCCAUG
rnacentral:rRNA from 1 species